GUGGAGAGGAGUGUUAAAGUGCGUGAUCUGGCAAGCCAUCUGCGUGAUCCAAUCGUGAAGACCUACUUCCUGUUCCUGAGUGCUGCCCUUAAGCCUUUAUCUGAAUUUAACAUUGCCUUCCAGUCAGAGGGAGUACAAAUUCACAGACUUGAAGAGGAUCCUGGGCUACCUCAUACCAGCCAGGGCAAUCGUGGGUGUAUCUCUCAGGGAGGUGGAGUAUGGAGAUGGACAUCAGUUGGCUGAUGAAGAUCUCUUUAUCGGAGCAGACACAAAGAAAUUCAUGAGAAGCGCUGAGCUCCCUGUGUCAGCCGAGAAGAAAAUCUUUCAAACUGUGAGAAGCUUCUAUGAGGCAGUUCUUAAGAAGAUGUUCUCCUCCUUUCCCCUCGACCAUCCACUCCUGAGGGACCUGAAAGUGCUGGAUCCUGCAGCUCGUCUUAACAUAACUCCAGGGCAGGUUGAUAAUAGAAACAGUUUCCAAUAGGCUUUAUGCCCAGCUCCACUACUUACCCUAGCAACCACCCUAGCAAUGGUCAGACACACCUGGAUUAAUCAGUUUGUCCAAUAAUGUAAGACAGGAAAUAAAGGAGCUGGCUUAAGUUCAGGAAGUAGUGCAGCUGUGCAUAAAGCCUAUUGAUGUUAGGCAAGGCAAGGCAAUUUUAUUUGUAUAGCCCAUUUUUACAAACAAUUUGUCUCAAAGGGCUUUACAUCGCAUCAUAACAACAUCCUCUGGGGACAGUUCCUCAUUGAUAACCAAACAAAUAAUUGGCACAGUAUACUUGAUACUUAUUUAGAUCUGCAAUGUUCAGUCAAACACUUGUUUUACUUUACAGUGGAAAGGCUAGGGGCCCUGUUCCCUCAGUUGAGGCUGAAAGAGGAUAAGAUGAGAGAGGAAUUCACAGACUAUCAGGUGACCGAUAGUAAGCAACUCCCCCAAGAAGACAGAAUCAACAGAUUCUGGGGCCUGGUAGGAAAGGACAUGAGGUUCAGUGAGCUGCCAAAACUUAUGAAGGCUUUACUAUGCAUUACCCAUAGCAAUGCAAGUUCAGAAAGGGUGUUUAGCAUGGUAUGAAAGAUUGUUAGAGAAUAGGAUGACGUUAGACAACAGAACUGCUUGCGCUCUACUCUCAUGUAAAAUGAACCACUCUGGCCCAGCCCACAAAUACACUCCUUCCAAAACAGUCUUAAAGAAUGCAAAGUCUGCAACAAAUUUGUACAAUAACUCACUAAAAGAGUAAAGAAAAGUUAUGUGAAUU